rnacentral:rRNA from 1 species
ACAGGCCUAACACAUGCAAGUCGAGGGGCAGCACAAGGAGCAAUCUGAGGUGGCGACCGGCGCACGGGUGAGUAACACGUAUGCAACCUGCCUGUAAGCGGGGAAUAACCCGUUGAAAGACGGACUAAUACCGCAUAAUACUAAAUUACUGCAUGGUAAUUUAUUUAAACAUUUAUGGCUUACAGAUGGGGCAUGCGCAUGAUUAGCUAGUUGGAGAGGUAACGGCUCCCCAAGGCAACGAUCAUUAGGGGUUCUGAGAGGAAGGUCCCCCACACUGGUACUGAGACACGGACCAGACUCCUACGGGAGGCAGCAGUGAGGAAUAUUGGUCAAUGGACGAGAGUCUGAACCAGCCAAGUCGCGUGCAGGAAGAAUGUCCUUAAUGGAUUGUAAACUGCUUUUGCAGGGGAAUAAAGUGCAUCACGUGUGAUGUUUUGUAUGUACUCUGCGAAUAAGGAUCGGCUAACUCCGUGCCAGCAGCCGC